rnacentral:rRNA from 1 species
UACGUAGGGUGCAAGCGUUAAUCGGAAUUACUGGGCGUAAAGCGUGCGCAGGCGGUUUUGUAAGUCUGUCGUGAAAGCCCCGGGCUUAACUUGGGAAUUGCGCUCGAAACUAUGGUGCUGGAGUGUGGCAGAGGAAGGUGGAAUUCCAGGUGUAGCGGUGAAAUGCGUAGAGAUCUGGAGGAACACCGAUGGCGAAGGCAGCCUUCUGGGCCAACACUGACGCUCAUGCACGAAAGCGUGGGGGAGCAAACAGG